CUAAUUCGACAGUUGCUGGCUAUUUAUAUAUAGUUAGAGGAAAGUCCAUGCUCGCACGAUCUGAGAUGAUCGUAGUGUUUGUGCUGGAUGAAGUCAUAAAUCCAGGCAUGAUCUUCAUGACGGCGAAGCAAGAUACCUAAGGGAAACUAUGGUUGCGCUUCUUAAAGUGCCACAGAGACGAGCUUUUAUGGAAACAUAAGAGGUGGAACGGGUAAACCCCGCAAGCGAGAAACCCAAAUUUGGUAGGGGAACCGAUGGAGACGAAUCAGGAAGUCGAAGUUGGAUGCGAAAGCAUAGAUAAAUAACUGUCGCCGGCUUGCCGGAACAGAACAUGGCUUAUGAAU
rnacentral:RNase_P_RNA from 2 species